rnacentral:rRNA from 1 species
UACGUAGGGGGCUAGCGUUGUCCGGAAUCAUUGGGCGUAAAGCGCGCGUAGGCGGCCCGGUAAGUCCGCUGUGAAAGUCAAAGGCUCAACCUUUGAAUGUCAGCGGAUACUGCCAGGCUAGAGUCCGGAAGAGGCGAGUGGAACUCCUGGUGUAGCGGUGGAAUGCGCAGAUAUCGGGAGGAACACCAGUGGCGAAGGCGGUUACCUGGAGCUUUGCUGACGCUGAUGCGCGAAAGCGUGGGGAGCGAGUCCGG